rnacentral:rRNA from 1 species
CCUACGGGAGGCAGCAGUGGGGAAUUUUGGACAAUGGGCGAAAGCCUGAUCCAGCAAUGCCGCGUGCAGGAUGAAGGCCUUCGGGUUGUAAACUGCUUUUGUACGGAACGAAAAGCCCUGGGUUAAUACCCUGGGGUCAUGACGGUACCGUAAGAAUAAGCACCGGCUAACUACGUGCCAGCAGCCGCGGUAAU